rnacentral:rRNA from 1 species
GACGAACGCUGGCGGCGUGCUUAACACAUGCAAGUCGAACGGAAGGGCCCUGCUUUUGUGGGGUGCUCGAGUGGCGAACGGGUGAGUAACACGUUAGUAACCUGCCCUUGACUUUGGGAUAACUUCAGGAAACUGGGGCUAAUACCGGAUAGGAGCUCCUGCUGCAUGGUGGGGGUUGGAAAGUUUCGGCGGUUGGGGAUGGACUCGCGGCUUAUCAGCUUGUUGGUGGGGUAGUGGCUUACCAAGGCUUUGACGGGUAGCCGGCCUGAGAGGGUGACCGGCCACAUUGGGACUGAGAUACGGCCCAGACUCCUACGGGAGGCAGCAGUGGGGAAUAUUGCACAAUGGGCGGAAGCCUGAUGCAGAAACGCCGCGUGCGGGAUGACGGCCUUCGGGUUGUAAACCGAUUUCGCCUGUGACGAAGCGUGAGUGACGGUAAUGGGUAAAGAAGCACCGGCUAAAUACGUG